AGCGAACGUUAGCGGCGGGCUUAACACAUGCAAGUCGAGCGAGAAAGGGGCUUCGGCCCUGAGUACAGCGGCGGACGGGUGAAUAACACGUAGGUAACCUUCCUUCCAGCGGGGGACAACGGUCCGAAAGGACCGCUAAUACCGCAUACGUUCCCUGGGACCCUGGUCCCGGGGAGGAAAGCUCCGCAAGGGGCACUGGAUGAGGGGCCUGCGUAGCAUCAGCUAGUUGGUGGGGUAAUGGCCUACCAAGGCUAAGACGCUUAGCUGGUCUGAGAGGAUGAUCAGCCACACUGGGACUGAGACACGGCCCAGACUCCUACGGGAGGCAGCAGUGGGGAAUAUUGGACAAUGGGCGCAAGCCUGAUCCAGCAAUGCCGCGUGUGUGAAGAAGGCCUGCGGGUUGUAAAGCACUUUCAGUGGGGAAGAACAGGUUCGGGUCAAUACCCGGAGCCCUGACGUUACCCACACGAAGAAGCACCGGCUAACUCCGUAGCCAGCAGCCGCGGUAAUG
rnacentral:rRNA from 1 species